CUUGUGUGGAAUAAAUGAAUAGUAACCUUCUCCCUUUACCUCAAGCACCGCACAGAGUCUUGGAAGGAUUUGACCACGAGAGAGCUUCAUGGUUUGAAGCUCCACCCCCUUUAAAGUGGCAGCACACAUUUUGGAGGCAGAGUCAUUGCUGUGGCUCAGUAAGUGAACCUCAUCCUUGUUACCUGCCC
rnacentral:lncRNA from 1 species